AUACGGAGGGUGCAAGCGUUACUCGGAAUCACUGGGCGUAAAGCGCGCGUAGGCGGUUUGUUAAGUCAGAUGUGAAAGCCCAAGGCUCAACCUUGGACGUGCAUUUGAAACUGGCAGACUUGAGUACUGGAGGGGAUGGUGGAAUUCCCGGUGUAGAGGUGAAAUUCGUAGAUAUCGGGAGGAAUACCGGUGGCGAAGGCGACCAUCUGGCCAGAUACUGACGCUGAGGUGCGAAAGCAUGGGGAGCAAACAGGAUUAGAAACCCUUGUAGUCC
rnacentral:rRNA from 1 species